rnacentral:lncRNA from 1 species
UUUUUUUUUUUUUUUUUUUGGUACCAGUGAUUGAACUUGAGCUUGCAAGGCAGGCCACCGAAGUAACCGCUGAGCUAAAUCCUCGGCCCUAGAGACACUUCUUAAUACUCUCCCGGCCAUAGUCCUGCACAUGUCAUGCUACUGAUGGGUAUCGCAUAUGUCGGCAAAACUCGGAGUAUAGCUCGACUUUUGCGGCUUCUAUGCAACUGAUUUUCUUCCCAGGACACUUUUACUUCUGCAAUAUCUUAACCACAAACCCUAGACAGCUCUCCAGCUACAAUGUGUCACUAUGGCCAAGAAGAAGCUACACAACCUUCUCUCCUUGCUGCAGAACAUGGGCUUGUGUGAUGUUUUCUCCUCCUCCUAUUACAACAUUUUCAUAA